rnacentral:tmRNA from 1 species
GAGCGUCAGCCAUGGCCUUCCUAUCCACAUCUGUGCUCAUUAAAUGCUGCAUCCUCCUGUUGGCAGGAGGAUUGGCUGAGAGCCUUACUCUAGGUUUGGCACCUGCUCUGUCUACCCACUCUUCUGGAGUGUCAACACAGUCUGUUGAUUUGUCACAAAUUAAAAGAGGCGAUGAGAUCCAAGCCCACUGUCUGACACCAGCAGAAACUGAAGUGACUGAGUGUGCUGGCAUUCUGAAAGAUGUUCUGUCAAAAAACCUUCAUGAGCUUCAAGGGCUCUGUAAUGUUAAGAACAAAAUGGGUGUACCAUGGGUUUCUGUGGAAGAGCUGGGUCAAGAGAUUAUAACAGGCAGAUUGCCAUUCCCCUCUGUGGGUGGCACACCAGUGAAUGACCUGGUACGAGUUUUGGUGGUGGCAGAAUCAAACACCCCAGAAGAGACUCCAGAGGAGGAGUUUUAUGCCUAUGUGGAACUUCAGACUGAGUUGUACACCUUUGGUCUGUCUGAUGACAAUGUGGUUUUCACUAGCGAUUAUAUGACUGUGUGGAUGAUUGACAUUCCCAAAUCUUAUGUGGAUGUGGGCAUGCUCACACGAGCAACUUUCCUGGAGCAGUGGCCGGGUGCCAAAGUGACUGUCAUGAUUCCCUACUCCUCCACCUUUACCUGGUGUGGAGAGCUUGGCGCCAUCUCUGAAGAAUCUGCCCCACAACCAAGUUUGAGUGCCAGAUCCCCGGUCUGUAAGAACAGUGCCAGAUAUUCUACCUCAAAAUUUUGCGAGGUAGAUGGAUGCACAGCUGAAACUGGCAUGGAAAAGAUGUCUCUGCUCACUCCAUUUGGAGGCCCACCUCAACAGGCUAAGAUGAACACUUGCCCAUGCUACUACAAGUACAGCGUGAGCCCACUGCCUGCCAUGGACCACUUGAUCCUAGCUGACCUAGCUGGCCUGGAUUCUCUCACUUCACCUGUUUAUGUGAUGGCAGCAUAUUUUGAUUCUACACAUGAAAAUCCUGUGAGACCAUCCAGCAAGCUUUAUCAUUGUGCUCUACAGAUGACAAGUCAUGAUGGGGUGUGGACUUCAACUUCCAGUGAGCAGUGUCCCAUUAGACUGGUUGAGGGCCAGUCUCAAAAUGUGCUGCAGGUCCGGGUGGCUCCGACAUCGAUGCCUAACCUGGUUGGGGUCAGCUUGAUGUUGGAGGGGCAACAGUACAGGCUGGAGUAUUUUGGGGAUCAUUGAUACUCAGUAACUUAAGAGGAAAUUUUUUUGUUAAAAAUAAAGUUAUUUUUAAAAAA